rnacentral:rRNA from 1 species
UACGUAGGGUGCGAGCGUUAAUCGGAAUUACUGGGCGUAAAGCGUGCGCAGGCGGUUCGUUAAGUCAGAUGUGAAAGCCCCGGGCUCAACCUGGGAACUGCAUUUGAAACUGGCGGGCUUGAGUAUGGCAGAGGGGGGUGGAAUUCCGCGUGUAGCAGUGAAAUGCGUAGAGAUGCGGAGGAACACCGGUGGCGAAGGCGGGUCUCUGGGCCGAUACUGACGCUGAGGAGCGAAAGCGUGGGGAGCGAACAGG